AAUAUGAAAGCAGACCCUCAUUGGGGCGUAACGUCACGCCGUGUCCGCAAUAGCGCCAUUGCUGUUGUGCUGACGCGGCGGGGGGUUAACGCCCUUUUGGGCCAGUCUGACUCCAUAUUCACCCAUGUCUUUUGCGUACUACUUGUUUCCUUGGCGGGUUCGCCCGCCAAUUGGACCCAAUUAAACCUUUUUUGUAAUUGCAAUCAGCGUCAGCAAAACAAUGUAAUAAAUUACAACUUUCAACAACGGAUCUCUUGGUUCUGGCAUCGAUGAAGAACGCAGCGAAAUGCGAUAAGUAGUGUGAAUUGCAGAAUUCAGUGAAUCAUCGAAUCUUUGAACGCACAUUGCGCCCUUUGGUAUUCCAAAGGGCAUGCCUGUUCGAGCGUCAUUUGUACCCUCAAGCUUUGCUUGGUGUUGGGCGUUUUUGUCUCGGGUCCGCCCCGAGACUCGCCUUAAAAUCAUUGGCAGCCGGCCUACUGGUUUCGGAGCGCAGCACAUUUUUGCGCUUUGUCCAGUCGUGGUCUUGCGUCCAUGAAGCGAAUAUUUUCAACGUUUGACCUCGGAUCAGGUAGGGAUACCCGCUGAACUUAAGCAUAUCAAUAA
rnacentral:misc_RNA from 1 species